rnacentral:rRNA from 1 species
GACGAACGCUGGCGGCGUGCCUAAUACAUGCAAGUCGAGCGAAUGGAAGGGAGCUUGCUCCCUGAAGUUAGCGGCGGACGGGUGAGUAACACGUGGGCAACCUGCCUGUAAGACUGGGAUAACUUCGGGAAACCGGAGCUAAUACCGGAUACGUUCUUUCAUCGCAUGAGGAAAGAUGGAAAGAUGGUUUCGGCUAUCACUUACAGAUGGGCCCGCGGCGCAUUAGCUAGUUGGUGGGGUAAUGGCUCACCAAGGCGACGAUGCGUAGCCGACCUGAGAGGGUGAUCGGCCACACUGGGACUGAGACACGGCCCAGACUCCUAUGGGAGGCAGCAGUAGGGAAUCUUCCGCAAUGGACGAAAGUCUGACGGAGCAACGCCGCGUGAGCGAAGAAGGCCUUCGGGUCGUAAAGCUCUGUUGUCAGGGAAGAACAAGUGCCAGAGUAACUGCUGGCACCUUGACGGUACCUGACCAGAAAGCCACGGCUAACUACGUGCCAGCAGCCGCCGUAACAC